AUUCUACUCCCCCCGUUGCACAAUACAUGCCUUCUAUUUGUCAAAUAUAUGUAUCUAGACAUGUUUUAGUAUAUAGGUACAUCCAUUUUUGGACCAAUGGAAGUCAAGUAUUUUGGAACGGAGGGAGUACACA
rnacentral:pre_miRNA from 1 species